rnacentral:rRNA from 1 species
GGAGUUUGGUCCGUGUCUCAGUACCAAUGUGGGGGACCUUCCUCUCAGAACCCCUACUGAUCGUCGCCUUGGUGGGCCGUUACCCCGCCAACAAGCUAAUCAGACGCAUCCCCAUCAUAUACCGUGAACUUUAGUCCUAAUUAGAUGCCUGCAAAGGACACUAUCGGGGGUUAAUUCGGUUUUCACCGGGCUAUACCCGAGUAUAUGGCAGGUUGGAUACGCGUUACUCACCCGUGCGCCGGUCGCCAUCAAAGGAAGCAAGCUUCCUUCAUGCUGCCCCACGACUUGCAUGUGUUAAGCCUGUAGCUAGCGUUCAUC